UACGAAGGGGGCUAGCGUUGUUCGGAAUCACUGGGCGUAAAGCGCACGUAGGCGGAUCUUUAAGUCAGGGGUGAAAUCCCGAGGCUCAACCUCGGAACUGCCUUUGAUACUGGGGAUCUCGAGUCCGGGAGAGGUGAGUGGAACUGCGAGUGUAGAGGUGAAAUUCGUAGAUAUCUGGAGGAAUACCGGUGGCGAAGGCGGCAUCCUGGACCGGCAUUGACGCUGAGGAGCGAAAGCCAGGGGAGCAAACGGG
rnacentral:rRNA from 1 species